rnacentral:rRNA from 1 species
CAGCCGCCACGGUAAUACGUAGGUCCCGAGCGUUGUCCGGAUUUAUUGGGCGUAAAGCGAGCGCAGGCGGUUAGAUAAGUCUGAAGUUAAAGGCUGUGGCUUAACCAUAGUACGCUUUGGAAACUGUUUAACUUGAGUGCAAGAGGGGAGAGUGGAAUUCCAUGUGUAGCGGUGAAAUGCGUAGAUAUAUGGAGGAACACCGGUGGCGAAAGCGGCUCUCUGGCUUGUAACUGACGCUGAGGCUCGAAAGCGUGGGGAGCAAACAGGAUUAGAUACCCCAGUAGUCCCUGUCUCUUAUACC